GACAGAGGGUGCAAACGUUGCUCGGAAUCACUGGGCGUAAAGAGCGUGUAGGCGGUUCGGUAGGUCCGUUGUGAAAACUCGAGGCUCAACCUCGAGACGCCGAUGGAAACCCUCGAACUAGAGUCCGGAAGAGGAGAAUGGAAUUCCUGGUGUAGCGGUGAAAUGCGCAGAUAUCAGGAAGAACACCCCGUGGCUAAGGCGGUUCUCUAGUACGGUACUGACGCUGAGACGCGAAAGCGUGGGGAGCGAACAGG
rnacentral:rRNA from 1 species